rnacentral:piRNA from 1 species
UGACAGAAAUCUUAACCGUUUGAAAAGU